ACGGAAGGCAGCAGUGGGGAAUAUUGCACAAUGGGCGCAAGCCUGAUGCAGCGAUGCCGCGUGAGGGAAGAAGGUUUUCGGAUUGUAAACCUCUGUCAUCGGGGACGAUAAUGACUGUACCCGAGAAGGAAGCUCCGGCUAACUACGUGCCAGCAGCCGCGGUAAUACGUAGGGAGCGAGCGUUAUCCGGAAUUACUGGGUGUAAAGGGAGUGUAGGCGGGACUGUAAGUCAGAUGUGAAAUAUGCCGGCUCAACUGGCAGACUGCAUUUGAAACUGCGGUUCUUGAGUGAAGUAGAGGUAAGCGGAAUUCCUGGUGUAGUAGUGAAAUGCGUAGAUAUCAGGAGGAACACCGGUGGCGAAGGCGGUUUACUGGACCACAACUGACGCUGAGACACGAAAGCGUGGGGAGCAAACAGGAUUAGAUACCCUGGUA
rnacentral:rRNA from 1 species